GGACAGAGCUCGGAUCCUGGGCUUAAGGGCGCGUAGGUGGUAGUGAAAGUCUGGGGUGGAAUCUUAGGGCUUAACCCUAAAACUGCCCUGGAAACUUCAUUACUUGAGUCAGUGAGGGGAGGGUAGAAUUCCUGGUGUAGCGGUGAAAUGCGCAGAUAUCAGGAGGAACACCGAUGGCGAAGGCAGGUCUCUGGGCCGAUACUGACGCUGAGGAGCGAAAGCGUGGGGAGCGAACAGGAUUAGAUACCCUGGUAGUCCACGCCGUAAACGUUGGGAACUAGGUGUGGGCCUCAUUCCACGUUUUCCGCGCCGUAGCUAACGCAUUAAGUGCCCCGCCUGGGGAGUACGGCCGCAAGGCUAAAACUCAAAGGAAUUGACGGGGGCCCGCACAAGCGGCGGAGCAUGCGGAUUAAUUCGAUGCAACGCGAAGAACCUUACCAAGGCUUGACAUGGGCCGGACCGGGCUGGAAACAGUCCUUCCCCUUUGGGGCCGGUUCACAGGUGGUGCAUGGUUGUCGUCAGCUCGUGUCGUGAGAUGUUGGGUUAAGUCCCGCAACGAGCGCAACCCUCGUUCCAUGUUGCCAGCGCGUAAUGGCGGGGACUCAUGGGAGACUGCCGGGGUCAACUCGGAGGAAGGUGGGGACGACGUCAAAUCAUCAUGCCCCUUAUGUCUUGGGCUUCACGCAUGCUACAAUGGCCGGUACAAAGGGUUGCGAUACUGUGAGGUGGAGCUAAUCCCAAAAAGCCGGUCUCAGUUCGGAUUGGGGUCUGCAACUCGACCCCAUGAAGUCGGAGUCGCUAGUAAUCGCAGAUCAGCAACGCUGCGGUGAAUACGUUCCCGGGCCUUGUACACACCGCCCGUCAAGUCACGAAAGUUGGUAACACCCGAAGCCGGUGGCCCAACCCCUUGUGGGAGGGAGCUGUCGAGGGUGGGACUGGUGACUGGGACGAAGUCGUAACAAGGUAAC
rnacentral:rRNA from 1 species